UGCAGGGGCCCAAGGCUGUUCCGGGCUAACAGUUUUCCUUCUGAGCCAGGUGUUAUGCUCCCCCCCCUUUCACAGUGUAGUCAGGAGAAGCGAUACGCAAGAUGUUAACUCCGUCUUUAAUAUGCACUUCAGCUCGCACAGCCCACGGAAGACAGGUAGGACGGCCGGUGUGGUAAGGCCGCUCACACAGCCCACGGGAGACAGGUAGGACGGCCGGCGUGGUGAGGCCGCUCAUACAGCCCACGGAAGACAGGUAGGACGGCCGGUGUGGUAAGGCCGCUCACACAGCCCACGGGAGACAGGUAGGACGGCCGGCGUGGUGAGGCCGCUCAUACAGCCCACGGGAGACAGGUAGGACGGCCGGCGUGGUGAGGCCGCUCAUACAGCCCACGGAAGACAGGUAGGCAGGCCGGCGUGGUAAGGCCAGCAAGGGCGGCCCGGGUAUUUGGUCUCGGGGCCAACAGUGUCUUCCCCGGGUAGACCGCGGCGGUGCUACGGCUGAGUGAUGGAGGGCAGUGCCGGGCCGGGCGUAACGCGGCAGCAGCCUCGUCAGGUGGAGGACUCGUUAGGUGGUGAAGGGGAGCCAGUGCCUAGCGAGCUGGCUCGACCGAGUCCUGGAGUCGUCUCCCGUCCUCAGCGCACCAACGUCCGAGGUUGCUUCGGCUGCUGACGUCAGGGCCCCCCCACUCGCGCCGGUGGAGCUCGGGCAGGGCGUUCGAGGCGUUCCGCUGCGGGUAGUGUGAAGCCUCGCUCGGGAUGAGUGUAGGUCGAGUGAGGUGUUCCGGGGCUAUGUUGGAGUUGAGGAGUUAAUAGUGGUCUUCCUUUUACA